UCGAGAAUUUUUCACAAUGGGCGAAAGCCUGAUGGAGCGACGCCGCGUGGGGGAUGAAUGGCUUCGGCCCGUAAACCCCUGUCAUUUGCGAUCAACCGUUGUUAUUUAAAAGAUGACAGCCUGAUAGUAGCGAAAGAGGAAGGGACGGCUAACUCUGUGCCAGCAGCCGCGGUAAUACAGAGGUCCCAAGCGUUGUUCGGAUUCACUGGGCGUAAAGGGUGCGUAGGUGGCGAGGUAAGUCGGAUGUGAAAGCUCGGAGCUCAACUCCGAAAUGGCAUUGGAAACUACCUUGCUCGAGGAUUGGAGGGGGGACUGGAAUACUUGGUGUAGCAGUGAAAUGCGUAGAUAUCAAGUGGAACACCAGUGGCGAAGGCGAGUCCCUGGACAACUCCUGACACUGAGGCACGAAAGCUAGGGGAGCAAACAG
rnacentral:rRNA from 1 species